UACGGAGGGUGCAAGCGUUAAUCGGAAUUACUGGGCGUAAAGCGUGCGCAGGCGGUUUGUUAAGUCUGUUGUGAAAUCCCCGAGCUCAACUUGGGAAUUGCAAUGGAUACUGGCGGGCUGGAGUAUGGUAGAGGAAGGUGGAAUUCCCGGUGUAGCAGUGAAAUGCGUAGAGAUCGGGAGGAACACCAGCGGCGAAGGCGGCCUUCUGGACCGCAACUGACACUCAGGGACGAAAGCUAGGGGAGCGAAUGGG
rnacentral:rRNA from 1 species